rnacentral:rRNA from 1 species
GCGGCAAAAGCUCAAAUUUGAAAUCUGGCACUUUCAGUGUCCGAGUUGUAAUUUGAAGAAGGUAUCUUUGGGUCUGGCUCUUGUCUAUGUUUCUUGGAACAGAACGUCACAGAGGGUGAGAAUCCCGUGCGAUGAGAUGUCCCAGACCUAUGUAAAGUUCCUUCGAAGAGUCGAGUUGUUUGGGAAUGCAGCUCUAAGUGGGUGGUAAAUUCCAUCUAAAGCUAAAUAUUGGCGAGAGACCGAUAGCGAACAAGUACAGUGAUGGAAAGAUGAAAAGAACUUUGAAAAGAGAGUGAAAAAGUACGUGAAAUUGUUGAAAGGGAAGGGCUUGAGAUCAGACUUGGUAUUUUGUAUGUUACUCUCUCGGGGGUGGUCUCUACAGUUUACCGGGCCAGCAUCAGUUUGAGCGGUAGGAUAAGUGCAAAGAAAUGUGGCACUGCUUCGGUAGUGUGUUAUAGUCUUUGUCGAUACUGCCAGCUUAGACUGAGGACUGCGGCUUCGGCCUAGGAUGUUGGCAUAAUGAUCUUAAGUCGCCCGUCUUGAA